GAAGGUGGCAAGCGUUAUUCGGAUUUACUGGGCGUACAGGGAGCGUAGGCGGUUCGGUAAGCCCUUUGUGAAAUCUCCAGGCUUAACCUGGAACAGUCGGAGGGGACUGCCGGGCUAGAGGACGGGAGAGGAGCGCGGAAUUCCCGGUGUAGCGGUGAAAUGCGUAGAGAUCGGGAGGAAGGCCGGUGGCGAAGGCGGCGCUCUGGAACGUUUCUGACGCUGAGGCUCGAGAGCGUGGGGAGCAAACAGGAUUAGAUACCCUGGUAGUCCACGCCUUAAACUAUGAAUACUAAGUGUCGGCGGGUUACCGCCGGUGCCGCAGCUAACGCAUUAAGUAUUCCGCCUGGGAAGUACGGCCGCAAGGUUG
rnacentral:rRNA from 1 species